GUUUCCGCACCCGAGCCUCAGUUUCCUCAUCCACAAGGGGGGGACUGUUAGGAGGGGUCAGAUGUGGCCUGGGGAGGGAGGAAGAGCAGCACCUGCUCCUCUGGUGUGACAAUCAGGACGCCUUGGCUGUCACCUGGCACCACCUGCUCGCCUUCCUGCGAGGGCAGCACUGGGCCCUCCCUGCUGGCCCUGCUCCUCCCCUUCAGCCAGCGUGACCCUGCAGGCACUGGGCUCGGGCCAGGGCCGGCAUCUCGACAACACCAUCGGACGCCAUCCAAGACGCCAUCCGGGACGCCAUCCGGGACAGAGCCCCCCAUUUCCCACCUCCACUCCGGGGGGCAUUUUCCCUGUCUAAGGGCUGGGAUCCAGCAAGUGUCCCAGGCCAGUCCCAGCCUCCCUGCAUCUUAAUGUCCCCAUCUCCCACUGGGACAGCGAUGCCAGCUCGCUUAAUGACCUGCUGUGACAAGUGACUCCCCAACCUCCAACCACGGACUCGAAGCAAAGGUUUAUUUCUGGCCCAAAUUCCACGCCUCUGCUCAUCAGAGAGAUGUGGCCAAGCCGCCCCACCCAAGGCCCACGAGCUCUAACCCAGGCCACGUUCAGCCUUUGUCAUCCAAGCAGCCGUCAUUCCAUUCUGAUGCUGUCCCGAAAUCUUCUGCAAGCAGUAAUGGUGCAGAACUGUAGACAAUUCACAGAAAAGACAGAUACAUCUGGGUUUCUCAUGGCUUUAAGACCGUGCCAUUGAGCUGGGUGGUUCUGAGCUGCACAUCUGCUGUAAGCUUCAGCAAAUCACCCCAAGAGCUGACGUGUGGGUAAAUACCACGCCUGGGCCACAUGGGCCCUGCAGAAAUGUCACCUGGAUACCCGAAGACAUCACCAGAGACAGAGUGCAAACCAGGACAUCCAUAGCCUGGAACUGCCAUGUUGAAAAUAUACUGUUUCUAUGCCAGUAAGUCGGAACGUGUAGCCCCAGAUGAGGGGCUCUACAAGACUGUCCAAGGGUUCCACAGCUCUGGGGCACACCAUCAGCUCGGGCGGUCUAGUUACUUGGCGAGGUCUUGGCUCCGAGGACCUUGCUUUAGGGUCCCUUCCAAUUGUCCUGGUUGUCCUCUUAGUUACAUCAGUGACCCCCUGCAUGUUGGAUUCUUUCAAGAGUCAUAAAUGCUUGUCAGCAGCCAUGAACUUGCAGAUGAUCUUCAUGAACAUUUCUCUGAAUCACUGAAAGGACCUGCUGAGCUUCUAGUCUGUGAGCUGGGAUGUCUGUGGAAAAGAAACAGAGCUGACCAAGUCAUGCUGCAUAGCUUGGUCACAUUCUCAGUUCAGUUGAGGGGAUAACCACUAGAUACAGCCCCUGGCCCCCAGCUCAGAGCCAGACGUUUCCCUGGAGUGCUGGCUCUGAUCAGAAACAAAGCACAAAGUGUGCAUUUUAGGUCCUUGUCAGCUGAUUCCGUGAAAGCAAACCGAUCAGCUGCAAACCAUCGGCCUGAACAGUGGCGUCUGCUGUAAAGGGUGAUGAUGUGGAGCAGCUGUGCCCCAGAAUCGGCCAUCGUCUCCAUUGACCUGACCAUGGGAUGGGAGAGAAGUGCCCGACUUCGCUCUCUCUCCUGUGCCAGCCAGAGAUAGUGGGGCUGAGCUACCACCUUGCUCCCCUUCGCAGCCCCUGGGCCCUGGAGGGUGGACUGGGACAACUUGGCCCUUGUCACAGUGUCCUCCCGCCACCCUGAGGCUGCUGGGGCGCUGCCCUCUGCGCCGUGCUGAUGGGAGGUGCAGCGUGGCGCCCCUCCUCCACACCGCCUGCUCCGGAUGUGGAAGAAGUGGGGACUCAGCCCCUAAAGUGGCAGAGAUCAGGGAGGGCCUGAGCCCAUUAUUAACCCCCAAGCACCCUAUCCCCAGUAAGAUGUGCCGAACACAGCUAACCCUCCUGAAGAGUCCCCAGUUUCAGCCAUUUUUUCAGAGACACAACAGCUAUCAAAUCCCUCGUGUCACCCUGAGCUCUCAUGGAACUGCCAUGAUGGCUGUGGCUGUCCUGGAUGCCCUACACCUGCUUGGACCAAUCACAGGCCUAUACGUGGACCAAUCACAGGAUUGCAGCUGUUGCUGUGUUUCCCCCCCAAAUAAGACCUAACCGGAAAAUAAUCAGCCUUGAAAACUGGAGCCCAAGAAUGGCAGCCUCAAUCACCUUGCCUUACCUGCCACUACAGAGCAGCCACUGAGCAAGAGAGUAGUGAUGUGCAGUCUUCUCCAUGACACUGGCCAUCACCAUGAUGCCGACAGAUGGAAUGAGGGUUGUCUCCGGCCUGCACAAGCCUUGGAUCCUGCAUCAGGGCUCCAGAGACACUGUGCCCAGCCAGGUGUGCAAGAGCCUGGAGCUGGAGAAGGAUGACCCCCGCCACCGCCCGGGUGACAGGAAGGGGGCCUGGCUCACGUGAGCAGGACUGCGGCUUUGGGCUGGCCCUGGGCUUGCUGGAUCUGGGGCGAGGCCCUGGUUCAUGUCCCGUUCACUGCUUUGCAGCUGGACAGAACCUCACCGCACGCGUCGCUCUGUGCACGGGGCAGGGGCCCACGUGCACCUCCCAGCAUCGCUGCC
ensembl:lncRNA